rnacentral:tRNA from 1 species
UGGGGUGUAGCCAAGCGGUAAGGCACCAGUUUUUGGUACUGGCAUGCGGAGGUUCGAAUCCUCCCACCCCAGCCA